GUUUGCAAAGGAGUUCCUGAGGACGAGGACAAUCAGUGCGGUGAGGACCUCUGCAGAAGCGGUGAGGGAUGCACGAAUGGAAAUCGCUAGCACUCUACUCCAGUAUAAAGGUAUUAACUUUGAUCUUGCUGGGGGAACUUCCGGGCUUGGUCGCACUAUUCCACACUGCUCCAGCGUCUCACUUAUUUUUCUUAAUAUAUCUAUCGAACAAUCUAUCUAUGUACCUUACAAACAGAUCUAUAACCCACUAAAGAAUCUCCACUAGAUGGGACAAAUAUAUUCAAGAUAGCUACAAUACUACAAGCACCCAGAGCCAUUUGUGAGGUUGAGGCAUUCACUAGACCCCUCGGCGAGGCACUAUUUGGCCUUGUCGUUAAGCAGCAAUUAUUGCUGAAUACACCUACCUUCUACCAGAAACUUGAUAAACAUGGCAUACCUACUGGAGGAAGUCAAGAUACUACUUGAGAAUUACCAGCUCCAAUUUACAGAAUCUUUAAGUACUGCUUUGAACCCAUCCAGUCCUGUUGAUCCAGAAAUAGCUCCGGACAAAAUACCCCAGGAUAAUCAAGGUGAUUGAGCUCCGUUUAGAUGGAUGCAUAGCGACAGCUUGCUGAAGAACAAAACUCUGCCCUACACAGCAGAACUCAGUGAUACAGAGGAUACUACGGCUCAAGAACACAAGCAGGCAGCCAGAGAUUACAAGCAUUACGAGUUGAUCCCCACACAAUGGCCCGCUAAGGCUAUAACAUAUAUUACAGAUGUGGUGACCUCUUCUUCAUACUCAAGUCGCCAUGCUACUGGAGUUUCACUUGGACUUUCACGUGCCACAUAUCAUCCUCCGAGUUAGCACAGCCUGUGGAGCUUAACAACAUGUACUUUUAUGGAACCACAGAUACCCUUGUUAAAGGUAUACCUGAGACAUAGUCUCAUAGAGGCACAGAUACCCUUGUUGUGGGUAUACCUGGGAUACAGCGACUGCAAUCGCACUGGCGUUGGCUGAAAGCAGCAUAAGGAACUUUACACAUAGCUCUUACACAUAGCUCCCUGAACUUUCCAAGCAUAUUGGUUAUGCCAGAGGCGCUAUCUCUGUUAUGUUCUCAUGUUAUCUAUUGUUGACCCUACCUCUUCUUAAUAUUUAUAGUGAAGCCCGAUGGGCUAAUGUUUAUAGCUUAGGAUGUUUCCUUAAACAAGUUAUUCUAAUAGUGAGGGCUUGACCAAAUUGAUAUAUCUAACUAUUAACGUAAUGAAAAUGGAAGAAAACUAGUUCACUUUUUAUCGCCGUCUACGGCCGGGAUGGUGGAGUUAACCGCUCUUGCAUCACUAUAACCUACUACACCAUAAAGCAAAAGAUAUUGUUGAAAUACUAGAAUACCGACUAUUGAAAUGAGAACUUAUGGCCUAAUGCUGGUCAGGAUCCACACAGAGGACCCCAGGGUUACAUAGUAUUUGUAUCUACUGUUAAGUCUAUAGCUUGUAUUUAGUAUUAGGCGCUCACAUCUAUUAAAUUUACAAAUAAAGAUAA